rnacentral:rRNA from 1 species
AGUGAACGCUGGCGGUAGGCCUAACACAUGCAAGUCGAACGGCAGCACAGUAAGAGCUUGCUCUUACGGGUGGCGAGUGGCGGACGGGUGAGGAAUACAUCGGAAUCUACUUUUUCGUGGGGGAUAACGUAGGGAAACUUACGCUAAUACCGCAUACGACCUACGGGUGAAAGUAGGGGAUCUUCGGACCUUGCGCGAUUGAAUGAGCCGAUGUCGGAUUAGCUAGUUGGCGGGGUAAAGGCCCACCAAGGCGACGAUCCGUAGCUGGUCUGAGAGGAUGAUCAGCCACACUGGAACUGAGACACGGUCCAGACUCCUACGGGAGGCAGCAGUGGGGAAUAUUGGACAAUGGGCGCAAGCCUGAUCCAGCCAUACCGCGUGGGUGAAGAAGGCCUUCGGGUUGUAAAGCCCUUUUGUUGGGAAAGAAAAGCAGCAGGUUAAUACCUCGCUGUUCUGACGGUACCCAAAGAAUAAGCACCGGCUAACUUCGUG